rnacentral:sRNA from 1 species
UGGUGGCCGGUGGCAAGGUGGUCGUGGUGGCCGGGGAGGUGGAGGCAGAAACAGAGCAGGCCGUGGUGGCCGUGGUGGCCGUGGGGAAUAUUAUGGCGCCCCGAUAUAAUGAAUGAUAUGAUAAUAUAUCCGCGGUUGCAGGAUUUCAAGCGCUUUUUUCUUACAUUGAUUCAUUUUGCACUUUUCUGGGAAUGGACUAUAGGGAAGGCGGGAACGUAGGCGUUUUGUACUCUUCGUGUAUGACUAGGCACUUGAUUUUACUAAAAACAAAUCGAUCGAUGGGAAUUAUCAUGCAUUUCA